GGCCUUAUCAACAUAAUCCCUCACCUCUGUGAACCGUUGACCUCCGGGUCUACAUAACAAACAUCAGUGUAAAGAACGUCUUUAUAUUUUAACAAAAUAAAACUUUCAACAACGGAUCUCUUGGCUCUCGCAUCGAUGAAGAACGCAGCGAAAUGCGAUAAGUAAUGUGAAUUGCAGAAUUCAGUGAAUCAUCGAAUCUUUGAACGCACCUUGCGCCUUUUGGUAUUCCGAAAGGCAUGCCUGUUUGAGUGUCAUGAAAUCUCAAUCCCCCCGGGUUUUCUGAACCCGAGGUGGACUUGGACAUGGGUGUCUGCCGUCUCGUACGGCUCGCCUUAAAUGACUCAGUGGGAUCUUCAGCAUCCGUGGCAGACGUAAUAAGUUUCGUCUCGUCCCUUGCUGUGAGGACCGCUCAUAACCUGCCAUCGCGCACCACUUUUGACUCUGACCUCAAAUCAGGUAGGACUACCCGCUGAACUUAAGCAUAUCAAUAAGCGGAGGAA
rnacentral:rRNA from 1 species